rnacentral:rRNA from 1 species
CCAACAGGGAUUGCCUCAGUAACGGCGAGUGAAGCGGCAACAGCUCAAAUUUGAAAUCUGGCCCUGGGCCCGAGUUGUAAUUUGCAGAGGAUGCUUCGGGCGCGGUGCCUUCCAAGUCCCCUGGAACGGGGCGCCACAGAGGGUGAGAGCCCCGUCAGGUCGGCCGCCAAGCCUAUGUGAAGCUCCUUCGACGAGUCGAGUAGUUUGGGAAUGCUGCUCUAAAUGGGAGGUAGACCCCUUCUAAAGCUAAAUACCGGCCAGAGACCGAUAGCGCACAAGUAGAGUGAUCGAAAGAUGAAAAGCACUUUGAAAAGAGGGUUAAACAGUACGUGAAAUUGUUGAAAGGGAAGCGCUUGUGACCAGACGUGCACCGGGCGCUCAGCGGGCGUUCUCGCCCGUGCACUCGCCCCGGUGCAGGCCAGCGUCGGUUCGGGAGGGGGGACAAAGGCAUCAGGAACGUAGCUCCCCCGGGAGUGUUAUAGCCUGGCGCGCCAUGCCCCCGCCCGGACCGAGGUUCGCGCUCCGCAAGGACGCUGGCGUAAUGGUCCCCAGCGGCCCGUCUUGAAACACGGACCAAGGAGUCGAGGUUUUGCGCGAGUGUUUGGGUGUCAAACCCGCACGCGUAAUGAAAGUGAACGCAGGUGGGAGCUUCGGCGCACCACCGACCGAUCCUGAUGUUCUCGGAUGGAUUUGAGUAGGAGCGUAGGGCCUCGGACCCGAAAGAUGGUGAACUAUACUUGGAUAGGGUGAAGCCAGAGGAAACUCUGGUGGAGGCUCGCAGCGGUUCUGACGUGCAAAUCGAUCGUCAAAUCUGAGUAUGGGGGCGAAAGACUAAUCGAACCAU